rnacentral:rRNA from 1 species
AGUGGCGAACGGGUGAGUAAAGUAUCGGAACGUGCCCAGUCGUGGGGGAUAACGUAGCGAAAGUUACGCUAAUACCGCAUACGAUCUAUGGAUGAAAGCGGGGGAUCGCAAGACCUCGCGCGAUUGGAGCGGCCGAUAUCAGAUUAGGUAGUUGGUGGGGUAAAGGCUCACCAAGCCGACGAUCUGUAGCUGGUCUGAGAGGACAACCAGCCACACUGGGACUGAGACACGGCCCACACUCCUACGGGAGGCAGCAGUGGGGAAUUUUGGACAAUGGGCGCAAGCCUGAUCCAGCCAUGCCGCGUGCAGGAUGAAGGCCUUCGGGUUGUAAACUGCUUUUGUACGGAACGAAAAGGUUUGGCCUAAUAAGCUGAGCUCAUGACGGUACCGUAAGAAUAAGCACCGGCUAACUACGUGCCAGCAGCCGCGGUAAUACGUAGGGUGCGAGCGUUAAUCGGAAUUACUGGGCGUAAAGCGUGCGCAGGCGGUUAUGUAAGACAGAUGUGAAAUCCCCGGGCUCAACCUGGGAACUGCAUUAGUGACUGCAUAGCUGGAGUACGGCAGAGGGGGAUGGAAUUCCGCGUGUAGCAGUGAAAUGCGUAGAUAUGCGGAGGACACCGAUGGCGAAGGCAUUCCCCUGGGCCUGUACUGACGCUCAUGCACGAAAAGCGUGGG